rnacentral:rRNA from 1 species
CCUACGGGGGGCAUCAGUGAGGAAUAUUGGUCAAUGGUCGGGAGACUGAACCAGCCAAGCCGCGUGAGGGAUGAAGGUACAGAGUAUCGUAAACCUCUUUUGUCAGGGAACAAAGGCGGGGACGUGUCCCCGGAUGAGUGUACCUGAAGAAAAAGCAUCGGCUAACUCCGUGCCAGCAGCCGCGGUAAUACGGAGGAUGCGAGCGUUAUCCGGAUUUAUUGGGUUUAAAGGGUGCGCAGGCGGUCUGUUAAGUCAGCGGUAAAAGCCCGGGGCACAACCCCGGCCCGCCGUUGAAACUGGCAGUCUCGAGUUGGAGAGAAGUAUGCGGAAUGCGCGGUGUAGCGGUGAAAUGCAUAGAUAUCGCGCAGAACUCCGAUUGCGAAGGCAGCAUGCCGGCUCCACACUGACGCUGAGGCACGAAAGCGUGGGUAUCGAACAGGAUUAGAUACCCCAGUAGUC